UACGAAGGGGGCUAGCGUUUGCUCGGAAUCACUGGGCGUAAAGGGUGCGUAGGCGGGGUCUUUUAAGUCAGGGGUGAAAUCCUGGAGCUCAACUCCAGAACUGCCUUUGAUACUGAAGAUCUUGAGUUCGGGAGAGGUGAGUGGAACUGCGAGUGUAGAGGUGAAAUUCGUAGAUAUUCGGAAGAACACCAGUGGCGAAGGCGCUUA
rnacentral:rRNA from 1 species